UGGGGAAUAUUGCACAAUGGGCGCAAGCCUGAUGCAGCAACACCGCGUGAAGGAUGAAGGUUUUCGGAUCGUAAACUUCUAUCGAUAGGGACGAAUAAAUGACGGUACCUAAGUAAGAAGCCCCGGCUAACUACGUGCCAGCAGCCGCGGUAAUACGUAGGGGGCAAGCGUUAUCCGGAAUUACUGGGUGUAAAGGGUGAGUAGGCGGUUAGAUAAGUCAUAUGUGAAAAUGCAACGCUUAACGUUGCCCGUGCAUAAGAAACUGUCUGACUAGAGUGCAGGAGAGGUAAGUGGAAUUCUUAGUGUAGCGGUGAAAUGCGUAGAUAUUAAGAAGAACACCAGUGGCGAAGGCGGCUUACUGGACUGAAACUGACGCUGAGUCACGAAAGCGUGGGGAGCAAACA
rnacentral:rRNA from 1 species